GUGAGGAAUAUUGCGCAAUGGAGGCAACUCUGACGCAGCCAUGCCGCGUGCAGGAAGAAGGCGCUACGCGUUGUAAACUGCUUUUAACCGGGAAGAAACCCCAGGACGUGUCCUGGGUUGACGGUACCGGAGGAAUAAGCACCGGCUAACUUCGUGCCAGCAGCCGCGGUAAUACGAAGGGUGCAAGCGUUAUCCGGAUUCAUUGGGUUUAAAGGGUGCCUAGGCGGAGCGUUAAGUCAGUGGUGAAAUCCUGCAGCUUAACUGUAGACUUGCCAUUGAGACUGGCGAUCUUGAGUGCGCUUGAAGUGGGCGGAAUGUGCCGUGUAGCGGUGAAAUGCUUAGAUAUGGCACAGAACACCAAGUGCGAAGGCAGCUCACUAAGGCGAUACUGACGCUGAGGCACGAAAGCGUGGGGAUCGAACAGGAUUAGAAACCCGAGUAGUCC
rnacentral:rRNA from 1 species